AACCUUACCUCAAUGCUUAUUUAACUCGAUGAGGUGUAGAACAUUCUGCUGAACACGUAUAUGAUAAUGAGUCAUGUGAUCUCCCCUUAAAAUGUCUAUGUGAGCUGGGAAUAUUUUGCAUCCAGCUGAGUUACCAUCAAGUCGAGCAACCAGGGCACCAAUUUAACAUCUCAUCUAAAGAACGGCACAUUCAGGAGGCCAGCACCUCCCUCUUAUGUUGUACUGCAGCUUCAGUAUAGGAAACUUAAUCCAGCUAUUGGGUAAGGGAAAAGAACCAGAACAUUCUGCACCAAAGGAUGUUUCUCCUGGAAUAAAGUUAUGGCUCAGAUUCAUGAAUGUAUGCCCAUCUCACUGAACUCAUCAGCGACAAGGAGUGAUGAAGGAGUUUGAGUAUUCAGGAAAUAAUGGUAAAUGGCCAACUGCAGUGAAAGCCGUAAACAAAACAACAAGGUUUGUAACUACAAGAGCGAUGACGACAGUAAUGCAAGCAGCAGCAGAGUUGACAAAAUAAAAGUGAAACAGUCUCAAGACCUUUAUUUGGAUUAUGGGUGCACAUUUAUUGAUAAGUAAGGCAUUCAACAGCCUUGUGUAAUAUACGGCAACAUGCUUGCAAAUAAGGUUAUGAUGCCAAGCAAGAUGCCAUGCCACUUACUAUUAAAGCCCACAUCAGAAGGGAUAAAACAUAGUUUGGGCACGCACCAGACAAUCAACCGAAACAAGAGCUGGUCUUUGGGAUGGCUCUAACCGUAACAGAGAAGGUUCAGUUGGCAAGCUUACAGGUCACAGAGCGUGUUACCAAAACAAUGAAAUCACAUAUUGUAGAGUCUUUGAUUAUGCCUGCCUGCUAGCUGAUGGUAACGACAAUACUUGGAAAAGGUGCUUAAAAUGUGUUAGCAAAAAUGUCAUUGUCCAGUAACACUAUUUCUAGAUGAAUAGAAAUUAUUUCUGCCGAUGUCAAUACUAACUUCUGCUGUUUGCUUAAGACUCACAAACAAUUUUCUCUGCAGACUAACAAAUCUAUAAAUGUAAGCAGAAAAUCACAGUUAAACAGCUUUUGUAUGGUUUUCAAAUAGUUCAGAAAUAUUGGAACAGUUUCUGUUUUUUCAAAGAACUGUAUGAAAACAUCAUCUUCAAAUGUCUCAAUGUUCUUCCAUCAAAAUAAGUUGUUACUGGAGUGGUGUGCUGCUUUAUGUAUAGCAGUGCUCCAUUCUAUGACUGGGAGUGUGUAUGUGAGUGGUUUCUUAAGUCUUGAAAAAUAUGAAAAUUCCCAAUGUAAUCACAACACGCUGUCUUAAAUCUUGUAGAACUGGUUUUAUAUCAGGUCAUUAAGAUGGAUAACUUCAUCUGUGUCUGUCUAGUGAAGAUUCGACUAUUUGAGAAACUGUAGGUUAUGGGAUUUGUGCAUUUCACACUGUUAAUGCACAAAGAAGUAAGAUGGUUAUCAAAAGGAAAAGUUCCAUCACAGUUGUAUGACUUACAUAAUGAACUAAAAACAGUUCUUUCUUAAUGAACAUGCAUAUGGUGACUUUGCAGAAUUACUGCUUGGUCGGACUUGGUGCAGUAAAUUAGCAUACCUCAUUGACAUAUUGGAAAUGCUGAAUACAUUGAAUUUCAGCUUGCAGGCAAUGAUGCCAAUGCGCUUGCCCUUACUAAUAAGCUUGAUGAUUUUCAUUGUAAACUUCUAAUGUGGAUAAAUUAAACAAAAAUAACAAAUUCAGUUUGUAUAUUCUCUUGCACAGUUCAAGCUGAUGCUGGUGCAAUUGUGUUGCAUGACAUUGUUACUGAGCAUUUGUUGUAGUUAGAGGACAAGUUACUACAUUAUUUUCUCCAUUUGAAUAGAUCCAAAACCCAUUUCAUAUCAAGUUGAAUUUGUCUGCAUUUCAGAUUAUGGAAAAAAACAGUUAAUUGACAGUGUCACUGAAGGAACACUAAAACUUAAGUUAUCAGGCAUGAAUUUAACAGAGCUUUGUAUUAUGACAGAGCAGCACCAUGCGCUAAUAGGUGCCAAAGCCAUUGGUGUACUCCUCCCAUUCUGUAUAACCUUACCUGUGUGACAAGGCAUCCUUGGCAUUGGCAGUGAUAAUGACAAAAACAGAUGUUUAUUCUCAAUGAACAUAACUUACAGGUGUGUUUGUCAACUGCAGUUCAAGUCUCAUUGAUAAACUUCCCCAUUCAUUGCAAAGUCAACCAUCACCUAAGUCAUUGCUUUGUCUUUUGCUUUGCAGUUUACUUUAUCAUAUUUGUCCAGGUGUUUCAGUGUUAGUAUCAACUGCUGGUAAUUUACAGUGAUCAGUACUGACAAAUUGGCAUUGAUUGUUAUUAAUUCACAGUUAUGGACACAACAGAAUGCAAUUAAGUGUAAAAAUAAACAUUGAUAAUGCAGUAUGUCAGCUACUGAAUGGA